rnacentral:rRNA from 1 species
AAUCAACGCUGGCGGCGUGCCUCAGACAUGCAAGUCGAACGAUUAAACUUUCCUUCGGGAAAGAUAUAAAGUGGCGCACGGGUGAGUAACACGUAAGUAAUCUACCUUCGAGUGGGGAAUAACAGUCGGAAACGACUGCUAAUACCGCAUAAUGCAGCGGCAUCGCAAGAUGACAGUUGUUAAAGGAGCAAUCCGCUUGAAGAGGAGCUUGCGGCAGAUUAGCUAGUUGGUAAGGUAAUGGCUUACCAAGGCUACGAUCUGUAUCCGGCCUGAGAGGGCGGUCGGACACACUGACACUGAAUAACGGGUCAGACUCCUACGGGAGGCAGCAGUCGGGAAUUUUGGGCAAUGGGCGAAAGCCUGACCCAGCAACGCCGCGUGAAGGAUGAAGUAUUUCGGUAUGUAAACUUCGUAAGAAUAGGAAGAAUAAAUGACGGUACUAUUUGUAAGGUCCGGCUAACUACGUGCCAGCCGCCGCCGUAAGAC